rnacentral:rRNA from 1 species
CUUGACAAACUUAUAAGAGGUCCAGCCUGCCCAGUGACUCUGUUCAACGGCCGCGGUAUCCUAACCGUGCGAAGGUAGCGUAAUCACUUGUUCUUUAAAUGAGGACUAGUAUGAAUGGCACCACGAAGGUUAUACUGUCUCCUUUUUCUAAUCAGUGAAACUAAUCUUCCCGUGAAGAAACGGGAAUAAAAAUAUAAGACGAGAAGACCCUAUGGAGCUUUAAACAAAUAUACACCUGCCUCUUUACCAAAAAAAUUUCAGAAGACAAGUAGUCACCCAGGCAUUUUGAUAUAGCGUUUUAGGUUGGGGUGACCGCGGAGCAAAAAAUAACCUCCGCAGCGAACGGGAGUAUUCCCUAAACCAAGGGCCACAACCCCAAGUAUUGAUAAAUCAACACUAAUUGACCCAAUAAAUUUGAUCAAUGAAC